UGACCUGCCAGUCUGCCUGCAGAGAAGAAAACACAGGAAGAGUUAUCAAAAGGCUAAGUAGUCCUUAACAGAUCAUCUUCAUCUUUAAUAGUGUUUACGGUGAAGUAGAACCCUAUACAUACAACAGUAUCUGUAGUAACUGUAAUCCCCCAUAUCUGCAGUUUGUCUUUCAGAAAAAGAAGAGAAGUCUGGAUGAGACAAGGAAAAGAGACAGCAUCCAUUGUGAACCCUCUCCUAAAAAAAGUACUGCCAUCUGUCUUUUAGAGAGAGGGAAGAAAACAACACAAGGAAGAGACAAGGAAAAGACCUGAUGAGACAAGAGGAGGCAGGACAGCGUGCCAUUGUGGACCCUCUACUUUGAAAAGAUGAAUACACAAUUACCCCAUCUUUGUAGUGAAAUCUCUGUCCUGAACAUGAGUUCUUCUGUUUACCUCGUUGAUGAAGUUAUUACCUGCUUUUUUUCUUGAUCUGCCAUUUGUGUUUCACAGGGAGAGGAGAAACCAUGCACUGGGACCCGUCUUCUGUAAAAAGAUAAGUUUACAUAUUAUACCCAAUAUUAUCAGAAUGUCUGUUGUCAUCGAUUGUUCUUAUUUUAAGUGAUUGUUCAAAUUAUUAAUAGUUACGUUAUCCCUAUAUCUGUUGUUUGCUUUGCUUUGAGAGACAAGAAGAAACAGCAAUAACUAGAAACUCUGUCACUUAGAUUCUUUUUCCUGCUGUAAUAAUUCCUAUAGUAUUCCUAUAUUGACAAGACAAGAAGCCAGCAUGCUUUCUGAAAACAUUUGUCUUUUAGAGACAGGAGACACCAGGAGACAAGACAAAGACCAGGCGUGAAAAGCAGCGGAGAAACAGCAGGGUAAAGCUGCUGCAGCAGGACCAUCAGAGACACUACUGACCUGAAGAUGACACAGCUACACGGCUCUCGCACAUGCCACCAAAAUUUCCCCCGCCCCCAUUCAUUUCCACACGGCUCCCCAGCAACAUGGAGAGACACAGCGGGGACAGCACCGGUCCACACUUCUGACAUUUUUCCGCAGUUUGAAUUGUUACUAACACAGCUUUAUGUUGUUAAGCAUGAGAGGCAAACCUGUAGGCUCAUUUGUGCCAGUGUUUCCGCUGGUAACUCUGUUAUUGCGGCCGCCAGGGCAAAAGAACAGAAGACGUUACUGAAAUCAACUAACUUCAGUUGGUAGAGUAAUAGCGUGUGAGACGGAGCCUGCUGGACCUGGGUGAGAGAUGUGACCCAUGGUGACAUUAUCAUAGUUAAUAUAAAAUGCAGCGCAAUGACGAUACAGACAUUACAUAUACACAAGACGUGUGUGACUCCGCUGACCCGCCAAAGCGCAUUUGACACGUGCUGGACCCAUUCAUAAUUCUUCAGUCCAUCGCACUCCUCCCUAUGUCUGUCCAUCAAUUUUUUUUUUUUCAUUUUCGGACUUUAUUUUGAUAGGAAAGACAUGAAAGGGGAAAGAGGGGGGGAUGACAUGCAGGAAAGGGCCGCAGCUCGGAGUCAAACCCUGCCGAGGACUAAACCUC